rnacentral:misc_RNA from 1 species
UCCGAGUUGACCCCGGCAGUUUCCCACGAGUCCCCAACUAAAUGCUGGCAACAUACGACGGGGGUUGCGCUCGUUGCGGGACUUAACCCAACAUCUCACGACACGAGCUGACGACAGCCAUGCACCACCUGUGAACCUGCCCCGAAGGGAAGACCUGUUUCCAGGCCGGUCAGGCACAUGUCAAGCCCAGGUAAGGUUCUUCGCGUUGCGUCGAAUUAAACCACAUGCUCCGCUGCUUGUGCGGGUCCCCGUCAAUUCCUUUGAGUUUUAGCCUUGCGGCCGUACUCCCCAGGCGGGGCACUUAAUGCGUUAGCUUCGGCACGGGAGGAGUCGACACCUCCCACACCUAGUGCCCAUCGUUUACGGCGUGGACUAC